rnacentral:rRNA from 1 species
GCAGUCGAGCGGUAGCACAGAGAGCUUGCUCUCGGGUGACGAGCGGCGGACGGGUGAGUAAUGUCUGGGAAACUGCCUGAUGGAGGGGGAUAACUACUGGAAACGGUAGCUAAUACCGCAUAAUGUCGCAAGACCAAAGUGGGGGACCUUCGGGCCUCAUGCCAUCAGAUGUGCCCAGAUGGGAUUAGCUAGUAGGUGGGGUAACGGCUCACCUAGGCGACGAUCCCUAGCUGGUCUGAGAGGAUGACCAGCCACACUGGAACUGAGACACGGUCCAGACUCCUACGGGAGGCAGCAGUGGGGAAUAUUGCACAAUGGGCGCAAGCCUGAUGCAGCCAUGCCGCGUGUGUGAAGAAGGCCUUCGGGUUGUAAAGCACUUUCAGCGGGGAGGAAGGCGUUGAGGUUAAUAACCUUGUCGAUUGACGUUACCCGCAGAAGAAGCACCGGCUAACUCCGUGCCAGCAGCCGCGGUAAUACGGAGGGUGCAAGCGUUAAUCGGAAUUACUGGGCGUAAAGCGCACGCAGGCGGUCUGUCAAGUCGGAUGUGAAAUCCCCGGGCUCAACCUGGGAACUGCAUUCGAAACUGGCAGGCUAGAGUCUUGUAGAGGGGGGUAGAAUUUCCAGGUGUAGCGGUGAAAUGCGUAGAGAUCUGGAGGAAUACCGGUGGCGAAGGCGGCCCCCUGGACAAAGACUGACGCUCAGGUGCGAAAGCGUGGGGAGCAAACAGGAUUAGAUACCCUGGUAGUCCACGCCGUAAACGAUGUCGAUUUGGAGGUUGUGCCCUUGAGGCGUGGCUUCCGGAGCUAACGCGUUAAAUCGACCGCCUGGGGAGUACGGCCGCAAGGUUAAAACUCAAAUGAAUUGACGGGGGCCCGCACAAGCGGUGGAGCAUGUGGUUUAAUUCGAUGCAACGCGAAGAACCUUACCUGGUCUUGACAUCCACAGAACUUUCCAGAGAUGGAUUGGUGCCUUCGGGAACUGUGAGACAGGUGCUGCAUGGCUGUCGUCAGCUCGUGUUGUGAAAUGUUGGGUUAAGUCCCGCAACGAGCGCAACCCUUAUCCUUUGUUGCCAGCGGUUCGGCCGGGAACUCAAAGGAGACUGCCAGUGAUAAACUGGAGGAAGGUGGGGAUGACGUCAAGUCAUCAUGGCCCUUACGACCAGGGCUACACACGUGCUACAAUGGCAUAUACAAAGAGAAGCGACCUCGCGAGAGCAAGCGGACCUCAUAAAGUAUGUCGUAGUCCGGAUUGGAGUCUGCAACUCGACUCCAUGAAGUCGGAAUCGCUAGUAAUCGUAGAUCAGAAUGCUACGGUGAAUACGUUCCCGGGCCUUGUACACACCGCCCGUCACACCAUGGGAGUGGGUUGCAAAAGAAGUAGGUAGCUUAACCUUCGGGAGGGCGCUACC